AUCGAUGAAGAACGCAGCGAAAUGCGAUAAGUAAUGUGAAUUGCAGAAUUCAGUGAAUCAUCGAAUCUUUGAACGCACAUUGCGCCCUUUGGUAUUCCAUAGGGCAUGCCUGUUCGAGCGUCACUAACAACCCCAUCACAAAAGAGUGUGGUAUUGGCAGAAGUGGGUAGGGCUAGCAGUGCUGGCCCCACUCUGCUGGAAUGAAUAGGCCGGAAAUGUAGACCAUGGUAACAGACUUUCAGAGUAUUUUGCAAUGCUAAAUUAGUUUGUAGGCUUGGUCAGAAUCUAGGCCAUUUGGACCCCCAUUCUGCGUAAAGCAGUAAAUGUUGACCUCGGAUCAGGUAGGGAUACCCGCUGAACUUAAGCAUAUCAAUAAGCGGAG
rnacentral:rRNA from 1 species